rnacentral:rRNA from 1 species
UACGUAGGUGGCAAGCGUUGUCCGGAUUUAUUGGGCGUAAAGCGCGCGCAGGCGGUCUUUUAAGUCUGAUGUGAAAUCUUGCGGCUCAACCGCAAGCGGUCAUUGGAAACUGGGGGACUUGAGUACAGAAGAGGAAGCGGAAUUCCACGUGUAGCGGUGAAAUGCGUAGAGAUGUGGAGGAACACCAGUGGCGAAGGCGGCUUUCUGGUCUGUAACUGAC